rnacentral:tRNA from 1 species
AAGGGAGACCUAAUUCAGGUAUGGGACGAAAAAAAAGUAGUCGCUACCAAGAAUCAAUCCCAAAAGGUCGGAGCGAGGUAUGAGGCUUUCAAACUAGGUUCUGGGUUCAAACAAGACCUGAAUCAGGAACAAGGGCUAUUAGCUCAGGUGGUUAGAGCGCACCCCUGAUAAGGGUGAGGUCCCUGGUUCGAGUCCAGGAUGGCCCACCUGCACAGGUGGCAAAAACAAGAGAAGCGAGGGAUCAGCACCUUAUCUUAUCUAUAUAUAAGAGAGAAUGCUGGCUCUGAGUAAAGAGUCCAGAGGAACCUUGAAAACUGCAUAGAGCUAGGUGAAAAAGCCAAAAAAGAAGACCGCAA